GCGGGAGUAGCUCAGUGGCAGAGCAUCUGCCUUCCAAGCAGAUCGUCGUGGGUUCGAUUCCCAUCUCCCGCUCCA
rnacentral:tRNA from 1 species